CAGAACACAGAAAGUUACAGCCAAGACAAGAGCUAACAAUAUGCUGAGUCUUAGCCUGCUGGGAGCAAUCGUCAGCUUCAUUUGUUUGGCAACCAGCACGGCCCAGAAGGUAACUCAGGCUCAGACUUCAAUUUCUGUGAUGGAGGAGAAGACUGUGACAUUGGAUUGUGUGUAUGAAACUCGGGAAAGUACUUACUACUUGUUCUGGUACAAGCAAACAACAAAUGGGGGAAUGGUUUUCCUUAUUCGGCAGGAGUCUUACAAUGAAAAUGCAACAGAGGGUCGUUAUUCUCUGAACUUCCAGCGUUCACAAAGUUCCAUUGGACUCAUCAUCACUGCCACACAGAUCGAGGACUCAGCAGUGUAUUUCUGUGCUAUGAGAGAGGGCACAGUGGCAGAGGAGUCUACAGGAGCCCCAUAA